rnacentral:lncRNA from 1 species
CAGGAAAGCUGGGAGCUGUCGGCUGCAGCUCUGCCACUCUGCUUUCCGGCUCCUGCAGCUCGGCACCGCUCAGGCUGGAGGAGGAUGCCCUCCUCUGGCUGCGCGUCCUCUUUUCCUCAGCCUCAGAGGCUGAAGAGCAAUCACUUCGAGCACUGAGGCGGGGAGCUGGAGGCAAUUUCUUGUGAUUGAUAGCACUAAAUACGGAACCGACGAGGACCCUCUAUCGGCGGACCAGAUUCUCCACUGGAGCCAAAGUGGGAAGGACCCUAUCAAGUCCUUCUAACUACGCACAUGGUAGUCAAGGUGAAAGGGUUGGUCCCGUGGAUACAUCAUACCUGUGUGAAGGAAGUGUCUCAACCGCACUGGACCUGGGCAAAUCAAACGGAACAAGACUCCUGCAUUGCAGUCAACAACAGAUCCUUUCCAAACACGCCUCGCUGGGAUUUUCAACGGUCUGCACUUUGAAAUUAUGUGGGAAACGGGGAGCAUUCUUUUGUGGUGAGAAAAACAUAGGUGCCAGACUCCUUGUCGGCAAGACAACGAGGAAGAGUGUUUACUUCAUCCCAAGGGACCAGAUGGGGAUGCGACCAUCCAGAGGAGAAUACAAUGCGUGCGCCGGAGGGGAGGGACUUGAUUAAUGAAUACGUAGUGGGGUUCAACGUAAUGUAUGAACUUGACUUACAAAUAUGUAACAUUUCUGUGGACCGGUAUGCAAGUUAGGAGGAGCUAUCCCCCUUGCAUCCAGCUUUGCGCAGCGUUGAUUAAAACAUACCUGAU